GCCCCGGUAGCUCAGUUGGAUAGAGCAACGGCCUUCUAAGCCGUAGGUCAGGGGUUCGAAUCCUCUCCGGGGCGCCA
rnacentral:tRNA from 1 species